rnacentral:rRNA from 1 species
GACGAACGCUGGCGGCGUGCCUAAUACAUGCAAGUCGAGCGCAGGAAGCUGACGGAACUCUUCGGAGGGAAGGCAGCGGAAUGAGCGGCGGACGGGUGAGUAACACGUAAGGAACCUGCCUCAAGGAUUGGGAUAACUCCGGGAAAUCGGAGCUAAUACCGGAUAGUUCAUCGGACCGCAUGGUACGGUGAUGAAAGGCGCUUCGGCGUCACCUUGAGAUGGCCUUGCGGUGCAUUAGCUAGUUGGUGGGGUAACGGCCCACCGAGGCGACGAUGCAUAGCCGACCUGAGAGGGUGAUCGGCCACACUGGGACUGAGACACGGCCCAGACUCCUACGGGAGGCAGCAGUAGGGAAUCUUCCACAAUGGACGAAAGUCUGAUGGAGCAACGCCGCGUGAGUGAUGAAGGUUUUCGGAUCGUAAAACUCUGUUGUAAGGGAAGAACACGUACGAGAGGGAAUGCUCGUACCUUGACGGUACCUUACGAGAAAGCCACGGCUAACUACGUGCCAGCAGCCGCAGUAACAC